rnacentral:rRNA from 1 species
AGUCGAGGGGCAGCAUGGUCUUAGCUUGCUAAGGCUGAUGGCGACCGGCGCACGGGUGAGUAACACGUAUCCAACCUGCCGUCUACUCUUGGCCAGCCUUCUGAAAGGAAGAUUAAUCCAGGAUGGGAUCAUGAGUUCACAUGUCCGCAUGAUUAAAGGUAUUUUCCGGUAGACGAUGGGGAUGCGUUCCAUUAGAUAGUAGGCGGGGUAACGGCCCACCUAGUCAACGAUGGAUAGGGGUUCUGAGAGGAAGGUCCCCCACAUUGGAACUGAGACACGGUCCAAACUCCUACGGGAGGCAGCAGUGAGGAAUAUUGGUCAAUGGGCGAUGGCCUGAACCAGCCAAGUAGCGUGAAGGAUGACUGCCCUAUGGGUUGUAAACUUCUUUUAUAAAGGAAUAAAGUCGGGUAUGCAUACCCGUUUGCAUGUACUUUAUGAAUAAGGAUCGGCUAACUCCGUGCCAGCAGCCGCGGUAAUACGGAGGAUCCGAGCGUUAUCCGGAUUUAUUGGGUUUAAAGGGAGCGUAGAUGGAUGUUUAAGUCAGUUGUGAAAGUUUGCGGCUCAACCGUAAAAUUGCAGUUGAUACUGGAUGUCUUGAGUGCAGUUGAGGCAGGCGGAAUUCGUGGUGUAGCGGUGAAAUGCUUAGAUAUCA